rnacentral:rRNA from 1 species
UCCGGAAUCACUGGGCGUAAAGCGUCUGUAGGUGGUUUAAUAAGUCAACUGUUAAAUCUUGAAGCUCAACUUCAAAAUCGCAGUCGAAACUAUUAGACUAGAGUAUAGUAGGGGUAAAGGGAAUUUCCAGUGGAGCGGUGAAAUGCGUAGAGAUUGGAAAGAACACCGAUGGCGAAGGCACUUUACUGGGCUAUUACUGACACUCAGAGACGAAAGCUAGGG